CGGCCCAAAUAGUCUAACACUCAAACUGAAGAAAAGAGGAAGAAAAAAAAAACUAAACGGGCAAAUAUGUGGAAAUGGACAAACUCCCCUCUAUGGCUACUUCAUCUCUCAAUAGAGCUCUCCGUUUAAACUCUCUCGGAUCUCCUUUCAAUCAAACACUCACGAAAAUCAAACUCGAACUCUCUCUCGCGUUAUGAACACAACAACAACAACACCAUAUCGCUUUCGAUCACUCUUCUCUCUCGCAGACUCUCGUGAUUCGUGAACAACAUCAUGAAACUCUCGUGUCUCUCUCGAUUCUCACGGUGAUCUUCUCUCUCGGCGGUUCUCUCACGGUUUCAAUCAAACAAACAAAAGCAACCAACAAUCGAUGAAACCCUUAUCCCCAAAUGAAACCCUAAAUGAUUUCAAAGUUUCAGCAUGAUUACAAAUACCAAGAGAUGAUGAAAUUGUACAAGAAAUUAACCUGAAGCAGUGACAAGAGGUUUGUUGGCUUGUUUUGGUGAAUAUUUGGCUUGGUGUGGUGUAGCAGAAGUUUGUAUUGUUGCUGCAGAGAUAAUGGUGAUGUGCAGAGCAUCAAAUUUGGAGCAUAGUGAAUCGUGAAGAACACCAAAGAAAAAAAUCACAUUUUUGUUUUAUGUACUGUAACCGUUAUUUCACAAUUUAAAUGGACUCACUUAUUAUUUAUAUAUAAAAAAAUGCUAAUUAUUUA